rnacentral:rRNA from 1 species
CGCGCAGGCGGCCUUUUAAGUUGGAUGUGAAAGCCUAUGGCUCAACCAUAGAACUGCAUCCAAAACUAUCGGGCUAGAGUGUGGGAGAGGAAGAUGGAAUUAGUUGUGUAGGGGUAAAAUCCGUAGAGAUAACUAGGAAUACCAAAAGCGAAGGCAAUCUUCUGGAACAUUACUGACGCUGAGGCGCGAAAGCGUGGGGAGCAAACAGGAUUAGAUACCCUGGUAGUCC